rnacentral:lncRNA from 1 species
AUUCAGCGGUGAAGUGCAGAGAGUGACAACUUGGGACCUGAAAAACAAGACCUGCGACAUUGUGUCUUUGUGUCCAAGGCAAAGAGUGCUAGCUAUUGAAAUUAGAAGCAGCCUGGACAGACAUGAGAGAACUGAAGAUGACACACCCUGA